AUGCUUGAUGGCUUCUCUUCCUAUAAGCCUAUAGAAGCGGCAAGUCUCUUUGCCCAACAUUUUUAUUUAUCCGAGCAUGGUUUUUAUUUUCUGGUCAGUCGUUUAACAUAUCGGAGCAGAUCUGGAGGCGCGAUCGAAUUGGUGAGCUCCCAUGCUCCACAACCGGAGACCCACAUGCGGGACGGCAAUCCUGGUUUUGUUGAGGGCCCUCAAGUGGCCCUUAUCUUCAAAGAUGGGGUUUUUAUCAGGGAGAUGUUGAUGGUGGCAAGGUGGCCAUCAUUGUUGAUCGUUUUGGGGGCUCCACCUUCGUCUACUAAUGUGGUUGCUGCCCCUCGCCCUUCUACAGGAAAUGCAUGA
rnacentral:rRNA from 1 species